UUGUGGAGCUGGCUUGCCUGCGAUGCAGGCACCUCGGCUUUUCAGUUGCACCGAGGUGAUGCCAUCGCGGGCAAGCCCGGCUCCCACA
rnacentral:misc_RNA from 1 species